rnacentral:rRNA from 1 species
UAGGGAAUCUUCGGCAAUGGACGAAAGUCUGACCGAGCAACGCCGCGUGAGUGAAGAAGGUUUUCGGAUCGUAAAACUCUGUUGUUAGAGAAGAACAAGGACGUUAGUAACUGAACGCCCCCUGACGGUAUCUAACCAGAAAGCCACGGCUAACUACGUGCCAGCAGCCGCGUUAAUACGUAGGUGGCAAGCGUUGUUCGGAUUUAUUGGGCAUAAAGCGAGCGCAGGCGGUUGAUUGAGUCAGAUGUGAAAUCCCCGGGCUUAACCCGGGAAAUGCAUCUGAUAAUGGUCAGCUAGAGUCUUGUAGAGGGGGGUAGAAUUCCAUGUGUAGCGGUGAAAUGCGUAGAGAUGUGGAGGAAUACCGGUGGCGAAGGCGGCCCCCUAGACGAAGACUGACGCACAGGUGCGAAAGCGUGGGGAGCAAACAGG